rnacentral:rRNA from 1 species
AGAGUUUGAUCCUGGCUCAGGAUGAACGCUGGCGGCGUGCUUAACACAUGCAAGUCGAACGGACGAUGAAAAGCUUGCUUUUCAGAGUUAGUGGCGGACGGGUGAGUAACGCGUGGGUAACCUGCCUCAUACAGGGGGAUAGCAGCUGGAAACGGCUGAUAAAACCGCAUAAGCGCACAGCAUCGCAUGAUGCAGUGUGAAAAACUCCGGUGGUAUGAGAUGGACCCGCGUCUGAUUAGCUGGUUGGUGAGGUAACGGCCCACCAAGGCGACGAUCAGUAGCCGGCCUGAGAGGGUGACCGGCCACAUUGGGACUGAGACACGGCCCAAACUCCUACGGGAGGCAGCA